AUGACGACCAUUCGCCGGUUCUGCUGCGACGAUCUGCUCCGCUUCGCCUCCGUCAACCUCGACCACCUCACCGAGACCUUCAACAUGUCCUUCUACAUGACGUACCUGGCUCGCUGGCCCGACUACUUCCACACCGCCGUCAACCCCGGCGACCGCGUCAUGGGAUACAUCAUGGGAAAGGUUGAAGGACAAGGUGAAUCUUGGCAUGGACAUGUUACGGCAGUGUCCGUUGCCUCAGAAUUCCGCAGACAGAAAUUAGCCAAGACGCUUAUGCACUUGCUGGAGGAAAUCAGUGAUAAGAUGGAUAAGGCCUAUUUUGUGGAUCUCUUUGUAAGGGCAUCCAACAUGCCGGCUAUAAGGAUGUAUGAAAAGCUGGGCUAUGUGGUUUAUCGAAGGGUGCUUCGGUACUACUCAGGGGAAGAAGAUGGCCUUGAUAUGAGAAAGGCAUUAUCACAAGAUGUUGACAAGAAGUCCAUCAUACCACUCAAGAGACCAAUUACACCGGACGAACUUGAAUACGACUGA
rnacentral:rRNA from 1 species